GAGUUUGAUCCUGGCUCAGAGUGAACGCUGGCGGCGUGCUUAACACAUGCAAGUCGAACGAGAACGGGUUAUAGUUUACUAUAACUGUCAGCUAAGUGGCGCACGGGUGAGUAAUAUAUAGGUAACGUGCCCUAGAGAGGGGGAUAACAUUUGGAAACGAAUGCUAAUACCCCAUAUGCCUUUAAGUCUUAAGACUGCAAGGGAAAUAUUUAUAGCUCUAGGAUCGGCCUGUACGGUAUCAGUUUGUUGGUGAGGUAAUGGCUCACCAAGACUAUGACGCCUAGCUGGUUUGAGAGGAUGAUCAGUCACACUGGAACUGAGACACGGUCCAGACUCCUACGGGAGGCAGCAGUGGGGAAUAUUGCACAAUGGACGAAAGUCUGAUGCAGCAACGCCGCGUGGAGGAUGACACAUUUCGGUGCGUAAACUCCUUUUAUAUAGGAAGAUAAUGACGGUACUAUAUGAAUAAGCACCGGCUAACUCCGUGCCAGCAGCCGCGGUAAUACGGAGGGUGCAAGCGUUACUCGCAAUCACUGGGCGUAAAGAGCGUGUAGGCGGGUUUGUAAGUUUGAAGUGAAAUCCAAUGGCUCAACCAUUGAACUGCUUUGAAAACUGCUUACCUAGAAUAUGGGAGAGGUAGAUGGAAUUUCUGGUGUAGGGGUAAAAUCCGUAGAGAUCAGAAGGAAUACCGAUUGCGAAGGCGAUCUACUGGAACAUUAUUGACGCUGAGACGCGAAAGCGUGGGGAGCAAACAGGAUUAGAUACCCUGGUAGUCCACGCCCUAAACGAUGUACACUAGUUGUUGUGAGGCUAGACCUUGCAGUAAUGCAGUUAACACAUUAAGUGUACCGCCUGGGGAGUACGGUCGCAAGAUUAAAACUCAAAGGAAUAGACGGGGACCCGCACAAGCGGUGGAGCAUGUGGUUUAAUUCGACGAUACGCGAAGAACCUUACC
rnacentral:rRNA from 1 species